rnacentral:rRNA from 1 species
GACGGGGGGGGCAAGUGUUCUUCGGAAUUACUGGGCGUAAAGAGCUCGUAGGCGGUUUGUCGCGUCUGCUGUGAAAGACCGGGGCUCAACUCCGGUUCUGCAGUGGGUACGGGCAGACUAGAGUGAUGUAGGGGAGACUGGAAUUCCUGGUGUAGCGGUGAAAUGCGCAGAUAUCAGGAGGAACACCGAUGGCGAAGGCAGGUCUCUGGGCAUUAACUGACGCUGAGGAGCGAGAGCAUGGGGAGCGAACAGG